rnacentral:lncRNA from 1 species
CAGCCACAAUGUCAUCUCCACGCACCUUAACCGAAACAAAGACAAUCACACCCUAAUCCGACCAUACUCUGUGAACCCUGAAAAUGAAAUAUACCAUUUAUGUUGUUACGAUGAGAAUUUGAAUCGUUUGGAAUGACAUUAUUCAUGUCUCUCUGUCUUAUCUAUUCCAUGACACUACACCUCAGGCGUAUGUGAACGGAGCUUCCCAUUGGACUGCUCUCAAAUGGAAUGAAAUAUCACUUCGGAGUAUGAUUGUUUUGUUCAACAUGCAUGAUGAGACAUUCUCAGGGAUGAUAUUGCCGACUAGUUUAAUCAAUGAAUCACGAUCAAACUAUGAUGAAUUGGUCCUCUUUGUGUAAGAGGAAUUACUUUGUAUGGUUGAUAAUAACUAUAUUGAAAGUUGCUUUAAGAAUGUAGAUGGUUUUUCCCUUUUUCUCCAGCAGUUUAUUAGUACAAUCCUAGUUAAAUUAGAAGGCCUAUCUUUGGUAGGAAACUAAUUAGUUAUUUUAAUUUUGGUAGAAAUAGUUUGUAAUGGAAACUAUUUAAGUUACUAAGUUGAUGAUCAAUCAUAGACGGCUUUUACAAGAAAAUAAUCAACCUCUCGGCAUAUUCUCUUCUUCAAACUCCAUCUCUAUUUUAGCAGCUAGCUUUUGAAUUGAAUUCCUGUUAUUUCCCUUUAAUGGUUUUUAAACCAACAAUUGGUAUCAGAUCUUUAAUCUUAAGGGACCUGUGAGUGUUUGCAUCAAUCUGAUCCAGUGAAUACCAUGAACGGAGAAACAAUUUUUUCUUCAAUGGCACCACCAACUUUCGAUGGAGAAAGUUAUCAAAUCUGGGCAGUUAGAAUGCGGAUAUAUCUGCAAGCUUUAGAUCUCUAGGAGGCUGUUGAAGAUGAAUACGAGAUAACUCUCUUUCCGGACAAUCCCACGGUGGCGCAGAUUAAAACUCACAAGGAGAGGAAAACUAAGAAAUCAAAGGCAAUGGCAUGCUUAUUUACUGUAGUUUCGUCUAAUAUCUUGACUCGUAUCAUGUCUCUACAAUUAGCAAAAGAGGUAUGGGAUUAUCUCAAGACUGAGUAUGAAGGAGAUAAAAGGAUUCGAGGGAUUCAAGUGAUGAAUCUGCUACGUAAGUUUGAGCUGCAAAGGAUGAAAGAAAGUGAAACCAUAAAGGAGUACUUUGAUAGACUUCUUAAUUUAGCAAAUCGCAUCAGAUUGUUGGGUUCCACUUUCAAUGAUUCAAGGAUCAUUGAAAAAAUCCUAGUAACGGUACCUGAAAGAUUUGAGGCUACCAUAACAACCAUAGAAAAUACUAAGGACUUGUCUAAGAUCACACUUGGAGAGCUCUUAAGUGCUUUUCAAGCACAAGAGCAACAAUGUGUUAUGAGAUAAGGAGGAGCUAUCAAAGGUGCCUUACCAGCCAAGCAUCAUGAAGAUGAACGUUCUAAGAAGAAGAAGAAUAAGAAGUACCAACAAACUGAUGAAGAAGGGGCAACGCACAACAACAAAAACAAAACAGGUGGUUUCAAAGGAAACUACCCUCCUUGUAAGCAUUGUGGCAAGCUCGGACAUGCACCUUUCAAGUGUUGGGAGAGGACUGAUGCUAAGUGCACUAAGUGUAAUCAGCUUGGGCAUGAAGAAAUCAUCUGUAAGAACAAAACUCAGCAGCAAGAUGCAGAGGCUUGAGUUGUUGGUGAACAGGAAAAAGAUCAACUCUUUGUCGCAUCAUGUUUAACAAGCAGUGUCUCAAGCGAGUCGUGGCUGAUCGAUAGCGGAUGCACAAAUCAUAUGACUUGUGAUAAAGAUCUUUUUAAAGAUUUAAGGCCAACUAAAGUUACAAAAGUUAGAAUCGGCCAUGGUGGUUAUAUUCCAGCAAAAGGUAUGGGAAUGAUUAUAAUUGAAACACAAUCGGGCACUAACAUGAUUUCUGAUGUUCUUUUUGUACCCGAUUUGGACCAAAACUUGUUAAGUAUUGGUCAGUUAUUAGAAAAAGGUUUCAAAUUGUAUUUUGAAGGUAAACACUUCUUGAUCAAGGAAGCAUCUGUACAAGACCUAUUUAAAGUCAAAAUGAGAGGCAAAAGUUUCUCAUUAAAUCCAUUGGAAGAAGAGCGUGGAUUUCACCCGUUAUGUGUGGAGCCACCUUUGCUAAAAGAAAACAUUCCACCUGAUGAUGAAGGCUGGAUUUAUCCUGGUUACGAUUGCAAAGUUGACUGCAUUAACUUGCUUAAUGAUCUUCAAGGAAUAGACCUUUCUGCCACUGACAGCUGGGAGAAAGUAUAAUCCAAGAAAGCUGCUGCUGUUGCAUCCGGGGAGAAGCUAGAUGAUAUUUCUGGACUUCCAUCGAAUGACUCGGAUAAUGGCCUACCUAACAUACCUUGUUCGAAUGAAGUUUCUGCUAAGCAUUUAGGUGAAGAAAUUUCUUUGCCUAAGCACGAUUUGGAAGAUAGAAAGCCCAAUAUGGUGUUUUUGGGAAAUACUUCUGGUCUUGCUAGGCGAGGGGGAUUGUGCCCUCUUAAUGGAUUCCAGAAUAUGACUCAUUUGGAAUCUGAUUCUGAGUGUAAGCUUUACUUGGAAAACAGAUGCCUGAAACUGAAACUGCUAAUGCUGAUAAAUUAUCAGAACUGGAACUUAAGAGUGUUUAUGAUGAGCAGCGUGAGAAUGCUACUCAGUCAGCUGAGCUGCCUUUGUUGAGCAAUUCCCGAUUAGCCCAGGUUGAAUCCUACCAGAUUUUUGGCAGCUAUUCAGCGGGGGAGUCGUCUCUCACAUAGUUUGGAGAUCCUGGCCGUAGAAUAUCAGCUGCAUUGCAAGAAAUCCAGAAGACAACAGGUAGUUCAUCAACCAAGGAGAAACUCAAAGUUGGAGGUAUGAGCACCUCUGAAUCUCGUUCAAGUGGUAAAAUAAAGGCAUAUGGAGAAGUCACCACCAAGAGACUCUAAAAAUCUUUCAAGGAAAAUAAUUAUCCUGACCAUGAAGCAAAGGAGAAGUUUGAGCAAAGUGGUGGUUGGAUAAAAGCAUUACUUGAAGAAGCUGAGAAUGAGAGGAUGCAUCUAAUGACUAUGGUGGAGCUAGUACAACCUAAAUGGUAUGAGAAGUUGUUAGUUAUUGCCGUGCAGGGAGCGUUUUUCAAUUUUUACUUUAUGCUUUACUUGCUCUCCCUUAAGCUUGCGCAUAGAGUUGUGGGUUAUCUGGAAGAUGAGGCUAUACACUCAUAUACUUUGUCUCUUAAUGAUAUUUAUCGUGGUGAAAUUGAAAAUGUCCCUACUCCUAUGAUAGCAAUUGACUACUGAAGACUGCCUAAGGAUGUGAUUCUAAAGGAUGUUGUUACUGUCAUCCAUGCUGAUGAAGCUCAUCAUAGAGACGUUAACCAUUUUGCAUCUCCAUGGGAGACAUAUCAGGCUAACUUGUCGAUUGAUCUAAGCAAGCACCAUGUGCCCAAGACAUUCCUUGAUAAGGUUGCUUAUUGGUCAGUGAAGCUUCUCAGGAUUCCAAUCGAUUUAUUUUUUAAGAAAAGACACGGUUGUCGUGUAAUGAUGUUGGAAACAGUGGCAAGUGUACCAGGAAUGCUGGGAGGUAUGCUGUUACAUCUGAGGUCGUUACGCAAGUUCGAGAUUCUAAGGCAAAGAAUUGGUGUUUGCAUUUCAUAAAGCAAGGAGGAGUGUUGAAAGUUGCUUUAAGAAUGCAGUCGUUUUUUUCUUUUUUCUCCAGCAGUUUUUUUAGUACAAUUCUAGUUAAAUUAGGAGUCCUAUCUUUGGUAGGAAACUAAUUAGUUAUUUUAAUUUUGGUAGAAAUAGGUUGUAAUAGAAACUAUUUAAGUUGCUAAGUUGAUGAUCAAUCAUAGAUGGCUUUUACAAGAAAAUAAUCAACCUUUCUGUAUAUUCUCUUAUUCAAACUCCAUCUCUAUUUUAGCGGCUAGCUUUUGAAUUGAAUUCCUGUUAUUUCCCUUUAACGGUUUUUAAACUAACAAACUAUGACAAAAGUAAACCUAUUGAUAUCUGGAUGAUGAAAGAGUAUUGUCAUGUUCGAAAAUAGUUCCUAGACGCGACUUGUACCCGCGCAUAACACCUGCCGGGAGAACCAACCUUCCAUACACUUUAUCAGUUAAUAAGCACUAAUAUAAGAUAUGAAAAACUCUAAUGCAUCAAUAAAUAGAGAUUAGUAAUUCAACAAAAAUUUAUAAUCAGACUAAUAGUCCAUCAAUAAUUCGAGAACUAAUUCUUUAGCCUAAAUCUCACACUCAAAUCAUGGAGCAUCUAAAAAAAGUUACAUGGGUUCAACUUUCGGGCAUGCAACCCAUUAAAGAGAACUAAAAAUAGAUAGAGCUGAAAAGACAGCCUCCAUGAAUAAUGUGAAGGCUCACCUUAUGAAGAGAAUCUUCAUGAACGAACCGUUAACCGCUAGUCUCACCUUCGCAACAGUAUAUGCAGACAUGCAAGUAAGGAUUUAGAUAUAAAUAUAAACCAGUAAGAUCCUCGACCUGCUACUUUAAUACCCCUGGAACAAGUGUUAGAAAAUACAAACCACAAAGACCAAAUAAACGAUAUGUAAAACAUAUAUCUUAUAGUAUAAUUCUCAAUAAGGUCCAACAAAUGUUUCAAAAAUCACUAUGUAGAUCUCAACUCAGCCUAGCACCCCGACAAGUCCACGGCAGCAUAUAUAAUGCCCCAAAAUUGUACUACGACAACAAGUACAAUGCCCCUAACUUAUUACGGUGGCAUAGGUAUGCCCCUAACAUAUUACGACAGCGCAUGUAUGCCCCUAGUAAAUAUAUCACAACAACAAGUACAAGGCCCCUAACAUAUUACGGCAGCAUAGAUAUGCCCCUAACAUAUUACAACAGCACAAGUACGCUCCUAGUAAAUAUAUCCAAUAUCCUAACAUCACCUUACAACUCACCGUUAAAUGAUCCUCAAUAUACUUAACAAAAUACAUAUCCGCGGUUGAUCAAAGACCACCGAUUCUACCAAGCACAUGCUUGUCCCAACACAUAGACUAGGUAGAAAAACAUAUUUUCUAAUAAAGCAUGUUUGAAAAGCAAGCACCAAAGCUUAAAGUUUCACUUACCUCGUUGAUGGCAAGUUUCCUCAACCUCGCAACUCGUAGAAUAUUAACCAAAUAGCCUCCAAUGGCUUCAAUCUAUGCAAACAUAUUAAUUAAUAAUAUCAAUUAAAAUAAUCGGGAUCAAAUUUCAAUAUCCCAAAAUUCCAAGCUUAGAGCUAAACCGUAGUAUCUCACCCCUUAAUCCAUGACUUAAAAUGGGAAACUCCAACGUAUCUAUUCAAUUAUAAUUUAUAUAGGUUAAUACCCAAACUACAAGAACAUUAAGCAAUACAGUAGCCUUAAUGCUAAAGAAGUGAUCCAUAAACAAUGGCUAAAAGAUAAGCUGGUAAAAUUCUUCUUUGCGUCCUCAUUGAAAAUUCAAAUUUCUAUCACCGCUAAAAAACUUAUCAAUAUGCAAUUGUAAAUUCAACUUCAAUUGACCACAUUAUCAAAAAUUCUACUUCAUUACAACUCCAUUGACAACACCUCUCAAAAGAAAAGAUCGGGACUAGAUAUAGUUUUUCUCUGCCAAUAGUUACAUAAGGAAAUUACAUUCAAAUGCCUUCUCCACCCUACUGAUAUUAAUAUAUAAUUGAACCCUAACUAAUUACUCUUCUUGCAUGAGCAUCAAUGAAACAUAAAUGUAAAAUAGGAGCAUCAUGACAAUUAGAGGUUCCAAUACCUAUCUAUGUAAAAUCCCUAGUGCUCCAACUCUUAUUCUACCCGAAAAGAACCCUUGCCCCUCUAUGAGGCUGCUGCUUCUGACAGAAGAACUUAAGAAAAUAAUUACCCUUUCAACUCCCUAGUUAUAACAUGC